rnacentral:lncRNA from 1 species
UGACUAUACAAAAAACACUAUGCAUAAUUUCUAGGGUAGUUAAUGUCUGAUCUAACUUUAAAGACUAAUCUAGGAAAAGAUUUUUAUAGUAGUGGCAAUAAUACGUUUUUUAAUGGCUUGAAUUGAGGUCUUUUAUUGGCCAGGAACAUUGCCGUGGGGGAGCAUCUCCUACAGUCUCUAGAUUCCUACUUAGUGAGAAGUCUUCUCCUUUUGCCAGAGGCAUCCCUGGAGGAAGAAGUCCGGUGAGAAAUCUAUCUGUUGGAACUUCUCUACCUGACUGAGCUGCUGAGCCUCUCCUUUGUCCUGUUCCCCACGCCUUCCAGAAUCAAUGUCAUAUUCAGCCUUCAUCAGAAAAUGGUCUUUUUUCAAUGGAUGCUAAAUAACACAGAGACCCACAAUAUUAUGAGACAAUGGACAUUAGAGACCCUGGACAUUGUGAGAGACUUUGGAACAGUCAUUCCUACAUGGGAUGUCUUCACCAAACCUUUCCCUUCAAGGCUCAGGGAUCUAUGUGGAAGAGGAGGCAGAAUGGUCACAAGGAGCCGGAUGUGAUGGAUGAUUCCAAGGAAACUGUCUUCCAGCUACGAUAGGACUGAUGCCCAUAAAAACUCAUGGAGAUGGUGGCAGCCUGCAUAAGACCUGCAUGGGUCCAUACCACACAAAGUUCCAGCACUGAGAAGAGGUGGACACAAAGCCCCACAGCUAACCAAGAGGCUAUUUGCAGUCAAUGCCUGCUAGAAAGUGUUGGGAGCCGCGCCCACAUUCGCCGUUACAAGAUGGCGCUGACAGCUGUGUUCUAAGUGGUAAACAAAU